AAGAAAAUAUAACAAGAUUAAAGACGCCGUUUGAGUAGUAUUUAGGUGAUCAUCAACGGAAGCCAUAAUCCUCACUUUAUACACAUCCAAGCUCAUUAGCUUUAGUCACAAAUAAAUUGUUUUGUAAACAUUUUAAAUACUUUUUCAUAAACAUUAACAAUGUAUCACUAAUUAUUUAUAAAAAUUCUAUAAAAGAUAAUCUUAGGUAAACACUCAUGGAAAUAACAUGUCAUAAAUCAAUACAGUGGUCAGUGACCGGAAAUUUAAUUACACGUGUAUUGUCAGAUUAACUCUUCAAUCCAUUUAAAUCCCGAAGGUCAUGAUUUGACAUAUGUGUUUUAGUUUGAGAUAAAAAUGAAUUUUGAAGGCUUUUGUUAACCUUGGGACCGUAAAUUUAGUUCGACUCAACCGAAAUUUCGACUCAUCCAAUUUCGACUCAUCAGGAGUCGAAUUACAUACUUUUGUAUGGAAUAAAGUUCGGGACCACGUGAAAACUUCGACUCAUCCGAAAUUUCGAGUCAACCGAGUUCGAGACAACCAGAGUUAACUGUAAUUCUAUA
rnacentral:lncRNA from 1 species